rnacentral:sRNA from 1 species
GCCAGGAGCGGUGGCCCUCAUCUGUCAUCCCAGCAGCUCAGGAGGCCGAGGCAGGAGGAUCAUGAGGUGGAGGCCAGCCUCAGCCACUCAGCGAGACCCUGUCUCUA